UGGACGAGUCAGACGCUCGCUGUCCUUUUUAGGAUGGAGGAAAGUCCGGGCUCCACAGGGCAAGGCGCUCGCUAACGGCGAGGGUCCUGAGCAAUCGGGAUACGGAAAGCGCCACAGAAAAGAAAACGCCCCUAUCUAGCCGGGCUUCGGCAGUAGACUACCGAAGCAACCGGCGAAUGUGGGAGCAAAGCUGAAACGGUGGUGUAAGAGACCACCAGCGGUAUGGUGACAUACCGGCUUGGCAAGCCCCGCCUGGAGCAAGGCCGCAUAGGGGAGGGUUUCCCGCUUAAACGCGGGAUCCCGCUAAUAGCGGGAGAAGGCUGCCCGCCGACCUCCCGGGUAAAGGCCGCUAGAGGGUCCGAGCAAUCGUACUCGUAAGAGAGAUGAGCGUCCGCGACAGAACCCGGCUUAUCGACUCGUUCAAAAA
rnacentral:RNase_P_RNA from 1 species